CCCAUUGCCUCCCUGCGUGUGUGACGAUCAUUGGGACUUAAAAAAAAAAAUUAAAAAAAAUUCAUAAAAAUUAUUAUACAUGGGUACAGGCUUUUUUCCAGCAUCAGCAUGCCAUUUUUAGGGUGCGUAUUAUACAUGGGGGCGCACUAUACACGGAAAAAAACGGUAAGUAGAUAAAGUCUAGCAAAGGUCUAGUUGCAUUGUUCCACAGGAAAGCGGCAAUUGAAGUUAUCUGAUCUCACUCGCGGACGACUCGGCCAACAACUGGAGAAGAACAGAUGGACAAACUCUGCGGGGGUCACGGGCCGACAAUGAAAUCGGGAUUUGGUCAGCAAACUACUGCGGAUACGGAAGCAAAGACCGAGGUCCAGAUCACCCCAACGUUCUGGCUGAAGGUCCCAAGAAGGAGGGGGACGGAGCCUGCGUCGACUGGACUCUAUAAAUUGGUGGAGCGCAUCUCACAUGCCGUCCGGCUGGCCGACAAAGGAGAUUCGUGGUAUCAUCUGUCCCAGUGAAGGGUUCCUGCAAGGAACCAGAUCAGCCAUCGACAGUCCCCGCCCCCAGUUCAUACAGAGGCAGAAUAAUCCUCUUUCCCCUUGGUGGUCAGGUAGUCCACCCUGAGCCACUGAAGACAACGACCACGAUUUCCAAGUUCUCCCCGGACGGAGCAGAUCUGCGAAGGGGGUGAGAAUCGUGCUCACCCUCCGCCAAUGGGCGUGCCAAGCCCCCAACGGCUGAACAAUCACGAGCAAUUUUUGUAUUGUAUUGUUAUUAUUGAUAGCUUUCUGGUCGCCUAAGGCAGAGGGACCGUGUAACUCUUUUCCUGCAAUUAAUCUGGCCACAGGUUUUUAAAUUACACACACAAUUUGGACUGGAGUAUUGAGGAAAAACCUCAUCUUCACUGGAAGUUAUUGCUUUCAUUGUAUUUUCUUACUUAAGUUUGACUGAUCGAGGUUGACAUAAUCAUAUGAUAAAACAGGAGGGAUAUGUUAGGGUUUGCAGAAUAUCUUCAUCGUAUGAUUAUGUUGGAAUGUAACCUGUAAUAAUUUAACUAGCUUGUCCUGUCUAGACAAAAGUAGUUGACCAAAGUGCUAAGAUCUUUUCAACUGAUUGACUAGACGCAGAGGAAGCAAUCAAAGUUGCUUUGUUUACAGAAAAUCGUAAAAGGCCCCCUGCCAUGCUUUGAUCAGCAGGGGAGCGUCUUCACCCUAUCCUGUGUGUUCCCACACCCCCACUUUCAACCCCACUUUGUUUCUCUCAAUAAAUAAGCACCUGACGAGGCCUGAGUCAGACUUCAUUCGACCAUUGCUGUAAGCACAGCGACGAGUGAACUCUCCGCCUGCAGGUGUCUAAAAUGACUUGCUUGACUCCUGUGUGGUUCUUGCUAAAUAAGUUAGAGUGGGCACCACCCUAACAAAGUAUGUUAUUAAAACUUUAAAAAGCC